CACGUAGGGGGCGAGCGUUAUCCGGAUUUAUUGGGUUUAAAGGGUGCGUAGGCGGCUUUUUUAAGUCAGCGGUGAAAUUUUGCAGCUUAACUGUAACAGUGCCGUUGAUACUGGGGAGCUAGGAUUUGGUUGCUGUGGGUGGAAUGUGUGGUGUAGCGGUGAAAUGCUUAGAGAUCACACAGAAUAUCGAUUGCGAAGGCAGCUCACAAAGCCAAGAUUGACGCUGAGGCACGAAAGUGUGGGGAUCAAACAGGAUUAGAUA
rnacentral:rRNA from 1 species